UUUAAAUAAUGUUUCGAUUGAAUAAACGAUACUCCUGUUUUUGGUUGGGGCGACGGAAGAACAGGUAAAGCUUCUUUAGGAUAAAUAAAUUAUAAGUGUUGAUCCAAUAUAAUUGAUUAAUAAAUACGUUACCCC
rnacentral:rRNA from 1 species